ensembl:lncRNA
CCUCUUCACUUUCUGCCAUAAGGGUGGUGUCAUCUGCAUAUCUGAGGUGAUUGAUAUUUCUCCCGCAAUCUUGAUUCCAGCUUGUGCUUCUUCCAGCCCAGUGUUUCUCAUGAUGUACUCUGCAUAGAAGUUAAAUAAGCAGGAUGACAAUAUACAGCCUUGAUGUACUCCUUUUCCUAUUUGGAAUUAGUCUGUUGUUCCAUGUCUAGUUCUAACUGUUGUUUUCUGACGUGCAUAUAGGUUUCUCAAGAGGCAGGUCAGGUGGUCUGGUAUUCCCAUCUCUUUCAGAAUUUUUCACAGUUUAUUGUCAUCCACACAGUCAAAGGCUUUGGCAUAGUCAAUAAAGCAGAAAUAGAUGUUUUUCUGGAACUCUCUUGCUUUUUCCAUGACGGGCUAGUCAAAAAGAUCAAUGGAACGAGACCAGGAGAAUAGAAAGCCUCAAACCAAAAACACAUGGAAAUUUGAUACAUGACUUAGGUAGAAGUGGGCUUCCCUGACAGAUCAGUUGGUAAAGAAUCCACCUGCAAUGCAGGAGACUCCGGUUCGAUUUCUGGAUCAGGAAGACCCCUGGAGAAGGGAAAGGCUGCUGGCUCCAGUAUUCUGGCCUAGAGAAUUCCAUGGACUAUAUAGUCCACAGCGUCGCAAAGAACCUGACACGACUGAGCGACUUUCACUCACUCAUAGACAGAAGUACCACUGCCAGUCACUGGGGAAAGAAGAGCUACUCAAUAUGUGAGUAACUGAAUUCAAUAUGUGAGUAAUUUUUCUGUGUGGAUACACAGAAAAAAAAAAUGAAAUUGCAUUCUAUUCUCUAACCAUAAAUGAUGAAUCCCAAGAGAAUUAAAGUCUUAAAUCUGAAUGGCAAAACUUUUCAACUGAAAGAAAAUACAAGAGAAUAUCUUUAUGGUCUCCAAACAAGACAGGUUUCCUUCAAUAAGGUAAAAAGCACCAACAAUAAUGGUAAAUAUUCAUAAAUUAAAUUACAUUAAAAUUAAGAACUUUCAUCCAUCAAGACAUCACAAAGAAAAUGAAAAGACAAGCCAUCAACUGGGGGAAAUUAUUUGCAGCAUACACAACUGUCAGCCCAGUUAAAAACGUGAGCAAGAGACAUGAUCAGGCAUUGCUCAGAAGUGUAACAUGAAAGGCUGAUCAACAUAUGAAAAGCAGAUCAAUCUUAUUAAUAAUCAGUAAAAUGCCAAUUAAGACAACAUGAGCUAAAAUUUUACAUCAUGCUGGCAAAAAAGAAAAAGAAAAAGUCUGACACCACCAAGGGUUGGUAAGGAUCUAGAUCAAGAGAAAUUUUUACCCUUGGCUGGUGGGAAUGUAAAUUAGCACAAUCAUAUUGGAAAACAAGAUUGUAAGUUUGAAUAUUUAUAUAUCCUACUCAGCAGCAACUCAUCUAAAGAAACUCAUGAACUUACACCUCAAGAAAGAUAUAUAAGAGUAUCCCUAGCAGGAAAAAAAAAAAGGAAACUACCUCCACAUCUAAUAAGAAAUAGAUACAACUAAUUUUGGUAUAGCUACAUAAUAAACUGUUCAGAGAUAAACAUGAAAAAGCUUCAAUCAUCCAUAGCAAUAUGGCAGAAAUAUAAUGUUGAGAGAAGAAAAUCAAGUUACAGAGAUGAUAGCGUUGUUACAAAGUUCAAAAGCAAUCAAAUGAAACAAUAUAUUGUUUAUUGAAACAUACAGAUGUAAUACUGUAUUUUUAUUUUUUAAUACUUUACUGGCUGCCGUCUAUGGGGUCGCACAGGGCUGGACACAACUGAAGCGACUUAGCAGCAGCAGCAGCAGUAUGCUCUUCCACAGGUUUUUUGUUUUGUUUUGUUUUGUUUUGAUUCUUAGCCACCCCGCAUGGAAUGUGGGAUCUUAGCUUCCUGAGCAAGGAUGGAACCCAUGCCCUCUGCAAUGAAAGCAUGGGGUCUUAACCAAUGGAGCACCAGGACAGUCCCAGGAAUAACUAUAUCUUUAAAUAGAAUAGGAAGAGAUUUUCAUGUGGAUGAAAAUACAUGGAUAAUGUCCUAGAUCCGUGCUUUCUAAUAUAGAAAUCAUUAACUGCAUGUGGCUAUUUUGAUUUGUUUUUAAAUGAAUUAAAAUUCAAUUUAAUUCAAAAUUCAGUUCUGCAAGUCAUAUCAGCCAAAUUUCAAGUGCUAAAUAGCCAGUGUGGCCAGUGGCUACUCUACUGGACAGCACAGACCUACAGAACAUUUCCAUCAUCACACAAAGUUCUACUGGACACUUCUGUUCUAGACCAGAGUUUGGCAGACUUUUUGGUAAAAAGCCAGAUGGUGAACUUUUCAGCUUUGCAGGACAUAGGUCUCUGUCACAACUACUCAGCUCUGCUGUUGUACCUCAGAGGUGGCCACAGACAAUAUGUAAAUAAGUGGAUGUGACUGUGAGCCAACAAAUCCUUAUUAAACAGUGGAAACAGGGCUCCAAAAUCACUGCAGAUGGUGAUUGCAGCCAUGAAAUUAAAAGACGUU